rnacentral:lncRNA from 1 species
AGCCUCAUGGAUGAACUUUUGUUCCGGCUCAACGCCCUGUCCGACAGUCUUCACCACACUCUGCCUGCUAAAGAGCCGGCCUGCAAGGAGGGCGAAAGCUCUGGGCUCUGUCAGUCAGACUGUGACUGCAGCCUGGACUCGGAGCACGCAGGUGACAGCGAGGGUCAAGCACGGAGAAAGGGAGGGAAAACCGAAGCACUCCUGUUCCAGGACGGCCCAGAGACGUACCACGCGUCCCUGCCCCUUGAGGAAGGCACAGUGAGGAAGGAACAGAAUCAGCUGAGAUCGCAGCUCGAAUGGGAGCCGCUCCGGCCCCUGCGGCGGAAGGGAGAGGGGAUCGCUCCGACGGGCUCCCGGGGGAAUCCGGAGCAGCCCAGCUGUUCCCCAGACAGGGCGGGCCCCCCCUGCGCUGGGGUCAGAGCAGGGCCCCCCGCGGCCGACCCCGACCACUACAGCCUGGCCAGCCUCGGACACGACCUGCCCCACGUCCUGUGCGGGACCAGGUGCCCCGAGAAACGGGCGUCCCAAUGCGGGGCCGGCUGUCCGGGGGUCCCCCCGACAGGCCUGCCCGCCCGGAACCGCCGGGUGCUGACGCGGUCCCGCUCCGCCGUGAUCCAGACGGCCCGCCUGUCCGGACCGCGCUCCCCGCCGGGGGGCAGCGGGAAAGGGCGCCGGCUCAAAGGCAGGUCCAGAAUCGCUCCCGCUUCCGGGCCGACUCCCGACCCGCGGGCCGGGCCGGCGAGACAGUGCUGGUGACCCGCUUCUGAACGCUGAAAGAAGGGGCAGGCUCACGAGUCAGAGGGCGACCAGGCCAGGUCCCAGUGGAGAGGCAGUCUGGGAGCACUGGAGCGACUAGAGGGAAUGGACUGGGAAUGGACAAGAACUGCGAAACAAUCUGUGUGUUACAGAAAUACAGAAUAAAAAGGCAAGAGAAUGUGUGGCUUAAAUAUGCUGAGUGAGUACCCCACGGCAACGUAAUAAACCAUAAUAUCUAAGUACGUUCAUGCUUUUACGUUAAGGAACACUAGAACAAAUUUAACUCGAUGUGUCAUGAUGCUUUUACAAAGCAUCAGCAGCCUUGUGAUAUUCCAGUGAUUGUUGGAAAUACAGUAAUUCACCCAAGGUUUCAGUUUCACAUCCCCUAAGCUGACUGCUACUAUUGUUGAUGGAUUUUUAACUGCUGUGCACCAUGUCCUGGAGGUACCUGUUAUUGAAAACACGUGAUCUGUAUGUGUUCACGUACAAGUAUCAGGCUGCUCUGCCGACGUGCUGCAGGUGCUGAGGUCUAUUCCACACUGAACAGUUCUGGAGUACACGAUAGAAAUGUCUCCUCUGCUUUCAAGAUAAUUGUAAU